rnacentral:lncRNA from 1 species
CAUGAGGGUCUACCCAGCUCCCAUGUCAAGAGCCAGGUAUGGAGGUGUGUACCUGUAAUACCAGUACUGGGAGACAAUGUAGACAGGAGGGUCCCAGGGCUUGCUGGACAGCCCGUCUAGCUGAAAUGGGAAGCUCCAAGCUUCAGAGAGGGGGAUGCCACUCAAAAAUCAGAGGCUCUAUGGUGACUGUUCACCAGAAAUGUGCUUGCUGCAUGAGCAUAAGGGCCUGAGCUCUGUCCUUAGCACACAUUUAACAGCCAGGCAUGGCAACACAUGCCUGCAACCCCACCACUGGAGAGGUGGAGACAGGAAGAGCCCUGGAGCUCACUAGCCAGUCGGGCUGAUCACUGAGCUUCAAAUUCAGUGAAGACCCUGCCUCAAAAAAUAGAAUGGGGAGUGAUUGGGGAAAGAUAGCCUUAAGUGGGUCUGUAGAAUGCCUGUGUAUAAGAGCAGCUGCACACACACACACACACACACACACACACACACACACACACACACACACACACACAGAGGGGAGGGGAAGAGAGAAAGAGAGAGAUUACUGAAAGUCAUACAUCAUAGCUUCUUCUUUUUUUUUAAUAUUAAUUUCAUUGUUCUCUUUAAUGGAUUGUUCUAUCAUGCCAUCAUGACACCGACCGUUGGCUUUGCAGAGACCUCGCAAGAUUAACAGAGAUAUGUUACAUGAAGGAUACAGACCUAACUUCAGUGGAGGAAACCUGCCACCUUGUCUGCUGUUUAGCCCUGAUGUUGGCAUCUCCUGGUGCUCUGUCAGGACGAGGGCAACCGGUACAGUUGUAUGUGCCACAAUUUUCUGACUGGCCAUGCUUCACUGGAGUCUGCUUCCUGCGUGGCUCCUGAUACCCAGCCCUUGUGUGACAAACGAGCAUGUCGGACCUUCUAAGUCUCUAUUGCUUUGGAAGAUCACAUCAAAGAGGUUUUACUAAUGAAUAAUGGUUACUGAAGGGAGACUUCUGGUUUUAGCUUCUCUGCCAUCCUCCCAUGUUCCUGGUCCCUGCAUCCUAUCACUAAGACAAUUUCAAAGGUACUGCAGGUAACAGGGUUUUAAGAGUGGGUGGCAGUUGGGCAUGGUGGCACAUGCUUUUAAACACAGCACUUGGGAAGCAGAGGCAGGUGGAUCUCUGAGUUCAAGCCAGGGCUCCAUAGGGAGACUCUAGAUGGAUAGAUAGAUAGUUGGGCAGACAGUGCCUUUGUCAGAUCACCUUCUACAACUACCCACCGUUGGAAGGCAAAGGACAGAAAUGACUGGAUUACAAACAUGCAGUAGAAGCUGCAGGGAGCUGAUGCUGGGGAGCAGGAUUUUUUCAUUUUUAGACCAGGU